rnacentral:rRNA from 1 species
UACAGAGGGUGCAAGCGUUGUUCGGAAUUAUUGGGCGUAAAGCGCGUGUAGGCGGCUUUGCAAGUCGGGUGUGAAAGCCCUCAGCUCAACUGAGGAAGUGCGCCCGAAACUGCAGAGCUUGAGUGCCGGAGAGGGGUGGCGGAAUUCCCCAAGUAGAGGUGAAAUUCGUAGAUAUGGGGGAGGAACACCGGGUGGCGAAGGCGGAUCUCUGGGCCUGUUCUGACGC